rnacentral:lncRNA from 1 species
AAAGACUGUUCUGGUGUCGCCAUCAACCCUGGCCCUCAGGCCUCAAGCAGACGACACACUACCAGGAAAGAGAACAAGUCUUCGUUUCUUCCUACAACGAUAUUUGAGGACGUCUCUUGACAAUGCUUUAACAAUCUACCCAUGUAUGGAAGCGCGAUGUUGUUUUGCCAGUUAUGGCGCGAUAGCGGGCCGAUAGAUGCCGCCGA